rnacentral:rRNA from 1 species
CAGCCGCCGCGGGAAUACGGAGGGUGCAAGCGUUAAUCGGAAUUACUGGGCGUAAAGCGCACGCAGGCGGUCUGACAAGUCAGAUGUGAAAUCCCCGGGCUUAACCUGGGAACUGCAUUUGAAACUGUCAGGCUGGAGUCUUGUAGAGGGGGGUAGAAUUCCAGGUGUAGCGGUGAAAUGCGUAGAGAUCUGGAGGAAUACCGGUGGCGAAGGCGGCCCCCUGGACAAAGACUGACGCUCAGGUGCGAAAGCGUGGGGAGCAAACAGGAUUAGAUACCCCGGUAGUCCCUGUCUCUUAUAC